UGCAGAGGGUGCAAGCGUUGUUCGGAAUUAUUGGGCGUAAAGGGAGUGUAGGCGGUUGGGAAAGUCUUCUGUGAAAUCUACGGGCUCAGCCUGUAACGUGCAGAGGAAACUACUCGGCUUGAGUGUCGGAGAGGAUAGGGGAAUACCCGGUGUAGAGGUGAAAUUCGUAGAGAUCGGGUGGAACACCAGUGGCGAAGGCGCCUGUCUGGCUGACAACUGACGCUGAGACUCGAAAGCAUGGGGAGCAAACAGG
rnacentral:rRNA from 1 species